rnacentral:lncRNA from 1 species
AAUUAUCCUAAACAGAUUUAUUACAAUAUAAUCAUGCGAUAUCUGACAGUAAGUAUUCGGUUAUAAAUGAAAAAUUUGGGUUAUCGGUGUCGGAUAUCUAAAAUUUGCCGACAUAUUUUGUAAUUUUAAAUUUUAAAUUGAUAAUUGAUUUUUUUAUAUAUUUUAUUACACAAUUGAUGAGAAAACCACAUUGUUAAUUAUAUCAUUUUUGUUAAGUAUUAUUAAUAUGAAUAAUAACGCAAACGUAUUAAAUAGUCCUUUAUUGAUAAUGGUAAAAGUUGGAAUGAAUAUAUGCAUGAAUAUUUUCUGUAAGACCAACAAUAAUGGACAGUGCCCACCGUAAUAUGAUAUGUUAUGAUUAUGUAAUACUUAUGGUUAAUAUAACAUGAACGUAUAAUUAUUGUCGCGCUGUAAACGCCUAAUAUACAACAUCAUUUCCUUAAAUAGAAUAAUUAUUUUAGUACAGUACUUAAUUUUCUAUUGUUAGUAUCACUUACAUAUUAGUUAUUAUAUUUGUUAAAUAUAAUUGCCAAAAAGAAUUACAUUAUUUAUAAUCAAUUGGAGAAUAUCGCUGAGGCGAUUUCCUAGACCUAAUUGGCCUGAUAGUUUUAUCUAUCAUUAUAGGAUUGAGAUCUUUAGCUAAAACCUUAUCGCCUACAUUAAAUGAUAUUAUUCUAUUACCUCUAUGGUUUUAUCUGGAUGAAACAAUAAACCAUUAUGUAUAUGCAUUAUAUCAUCCAAAAUAUAUGCAGAUUAUGGUAAAAUAAUUCCGCGGGCAUUAUAUGUUUUCUUUUAUAAUAUUUGUUUAAUAUUGAAUCUAUUUUCCAUUUUUUCUUAGUUUUUCUUAGUUGCUUAGAAAAAUAUUGGGAAAAUUGAAAUAUUGCCUUAUUAAAAAAACAUCCCUAGUUAGAUUUAAUUUUAGAAAAAUUAUUAUCAAUGUAAAUUAGAGAAAAAUAACCGGAAGAAAAGUUAUCCACGGAAAAAAAAAUAUACAUACUUGAAAAACCAUAAACUUCUUUUCUAAGAAUUUAAAACUACUUUCUAGGUGUGAAAGAGGAAUACAUGGAAGUUUACAGAUGAUAAACUAUUGAUAAUAGAAAAUCUGAAAAAAGUUAAAAUAAUAGGCUUGAGAAAUAAAAAAUAGCUCUUGAAGGAAAGGGACUAAAGAUAAACUACUAAAGUGUGGAGGCUGACCAUGUUGUAUGGUUUGGAAUGUUUAGAUGCAGACAGAAAAAUAGAAGAGAAAAUGAUUGUAGCUGAAAUUAGAAUACUUAAGUGGAUGAGUGGACUGAUGAAAGAACAAAGUAUAGAGAAUGAGUUCAUGGAAGGUAGCUUAGUUGUGGCUUCUAUAGUAUUGUUAAAAUGAUAGAGCAUAGACGGAGAAAGUUUCAAUUGUCACGAGUAAAUAAACAAAUUAAACAGUAAGAGUUUUAAAGAAAAUAAAUGUAGGGGAAAUAGGUGAAGAGGAAGACCGAAAACGUCGUGGUUGGAUGCGAUUAAGAAUGAUAUGAAGACACCCGGUGUAUGUGAAAUAGGAAUGAGUGAGACUAACUGAACAUUUUAAUACGAGAGUGGCCAAUCCUUAAUGGUACGGAUAAAGCUAAAAGAGAAUAAGACAGGGGGUAUACACAACACUGGUGGUUCUUAAAUUUUUUUGAAUACGAUAGAGUUACAUGAUAACAUUUAUUAACAUAUUAAAAAUAUUCACCCGAUAUUUAUUUAUUUAUUUUAUAAAUAAUAAAUUAAAAACAAAAUUAUUAAAAUGGUAAAUACUCGUAAAUAAAUAUAGUAAAUCAAUAUAAAUAAAAAUCAAUUUUUAUACAUUUUUUUAUCUUUAAAUUUAUAUAUAAUAUUAAAUAUAUUUUAAUUAACUAACAUAAUAUAUUGUUUUUAUCUAUAUGAUUAUAUCCAUAUUUCAAUUUCAAUAAAUUAUAUUAAAUUCUAUAAUAAUUGUAAAUUAUUCUAGCUACGCCAGCCGAUAAAAUUCGCUUCAGAGUGGCAGGAGGUAUGCAUCGAAAAUAUUUUAUAGAACAUUUAAAAAAUCAACUAAAAUCAUUCAGAUAUUGGUAUUAAAAUAUAAAUUUAUUUAAUUACUAACUAGUUAAUUUUUGUUUAAUAGGAUAUAAAAUUGACAAUGACGGAAGCAAGUGGUUUAAACAAUUAUUGUUUUUAUUUGUCUAUUUAGCAGAUAGCACAAUUACUAUAAGAAUUUUAAAAAUAUAAAUGGUCAUUGAGAAAUUAUUUUGGUUAGUAAUUGAGUUGUAAAAUAUAUCUGUUUAGAUACUUUUUUUUAUAAAUAACACUAAUGAUGCCGCUGCUAUUUUCAAUGAUGCCUUAUAUGAGAAUCCAAGCUUUCCUUAAUGUUUGUCAAAUUAUCUAAAACAACUUAUUAUCAAUAAACAAAAAGCACAUAUUAUCUUUUAAAGGUCUAGUAUUGAUAUAGAUCAAAUUAUUUACCAUAAAGUCAGAGCCAAAUGCAAGUGACUUUCAAAACUAGACUGUUCUUUAUAUAUUUGUCGCACUAAGCUGUUACGACACCAGACGCUGGUCAAGACAUAGUUGUAUUUAUCACAUAUAUGUACGUACACUUCAGAAAUGACAGAACGCGUUGGCGUCGAGGUGACAGUACUCCUUCUCGCACAUCGGUGGUGUGGAUAUACCUUCUGUUGUCCUCAUCUGACUAAACUACUUUUAUGGUUCAAACGGUCGUCUGAUAAAUUGUCGCCUUGGAUUAGAUUGCGAUAGACACCGCUAUCGUUGUUCCCUGAUGCACAUGCUCCGUAUCCGGACACAUUUUCUUCUUGGCCCAUCAAACAUUUACACAUAUCAUCCGCUGUGGUGUGGAAAUGUCUGGUUGUCAUACCCCUAUUAAUGACCCUUACGUACUUAGUUGCGUACAAAUAAUAAUUCUUAUUCAACGAUUUCCUUUUCGCAAUAGAAAGAACAACGUACAUAAGUGUAUAUUAAACAAAACAAUAGUUAAUUCAGGUGUCAGAUCUUCUAGUACAAAUAAAGAAUAUUUGACUAAACAUUUUGAUUUGCUUGACACUAGCCGUCUUACCGGUUAUGAGUUAAAUAAUUGUUGUUAUAUCAGUUGGUAAAGGUCUGUUUGGUCCUAAAUUUAAAAACCAAAUCAUACUGUAGUAUUAGACAAUAUCCAGAUUAAGUAGGUUAAUACUAAAUUGUACAAAUAUGUUUUCAUUAAGUUAAUGUCGAGAUAAUCAACAAUUAUUUCACACCCAUAACCGGAGCACCAGAAGUAUAAAUAUAUUUAAUUUUAAGCCAGUAACUUUGGGUACAAGAUAAUUGUUAAUGAUAAGGAGGGAAUAUGUAACAUAAAACUUGGAGAAAAAGUAAUAAACGAGGUCAUCUCUGGUGAUCGUGUGACGCGAUUUGGACAACAGUAAUAAAGUUUUACCUUUUUCAUUAUGUUUAUUAUUUUUUAACCAUAUAUGCACUUCUUAAUAAUUAGGCAAAUUAUUCGUGAUAUACUAAAUAAUAUUUGGCCAAUUUUUUUUUUAAACAAUUAUGGUUUUUUAUAAAACAAAAUGAUAAUUAUUAUUUUAUUUUUUACUCUCCCAGAUUUACGUUAUAAAGACAAGAGUAUGUAUUUUAUAUUUUGAUAAAAAAUAAUUGAAUCUGCUUUUAUAAUAAGGGUACUGAAUAAUAAAUACAUAUUCGGCACUGUUAGUUAUUGUAUUAUUUUAAUUAUGGUUUCUUGUUUUUCUCGUAAUCAAAUAUUUAUGGAGUAAGGGUAUACCAUAGGUAUUUUUAUUUUUUUACAUUUUUCUCAAUAAAAUUGAUAUAGUAUCUUUGUGAACCUUCGUUUUCCACUAUUUCUACAUUCCGAUAGUUUAGACUAUUUAUGCAUAGCAAUAACAUUUUCCGAUGUUCUUAACUAAUCACAGUAAAGGUGAUCUCUGUUAAACAAAGUUCGAGCAAAAAUUGUUUUUAUUUUAAAUAAUUUUAGGUGAAGUGGUUACAGCCUUAUGGAAAUAUAUUAAAUAAUUAUAAUACAUUUUGUUUUAAAGAUGAACUUGUUACAGGUAUGAAUCUUAAAUAAUUACUUUAGAAUAAAUCAUUUAUUUUUUGAAUACUAACAAUAAAAAAAUAAAUUGCUAUACAAAAUAAUCAAUCCUCGGAAAAUAUACAUUUUUUGGGGGGUCAAUUAUUUAAAUAUCAUGUGCCACACAAUAGGUGUGUUACUACUCUUGCCCAAAUAUAAAACUGAAAAAACUUCGACAGUUGUUUGACGGGAAUUAAAUAUUUUUUCUUAAAAUUGAGUUUAAUCUAAACUUUUUAACAAACUAUAGAAUUUUUAAAAUAGAUUGCUUUUAAAAAUUUAAACUUGUUGUUGUUUAACCUAAAAUUACGAACUUUAUUUUUCUGAUUUAGUGUUAUAUUUCAACCGUUUAUUGUUUACUGAUAUGUUAUCUGUUCCCAAUUUUAAGACUUAAGGGUGAUUGAUUUUUCAAUAUUUAACCAACAGUAAUUACACCGGUCAUAAUUACACGACACUAAUAUUUAUUUAUUUUAUGUGCAUAUUUAUAGUUCCUGGUUCAAACUGAUCAGUAUUUAAAGUUGCUCGAUUUUUAAAAUUUCAAUUAAACCUUUAAUAUAUUCGAUUUGAUGUCGUACAUAAUUUUUUAUCAACAACAUUUUUUAAGGAUAAAUAGUUAAUGUUUUGACAACAUGAUAAAUACAAUCUUUAAUGCUAUUAUUUUCUAAUGAAACAUCAGAACCUCUAAUUCUGUUUCUAAUUCUGAAAAAUGUAUAAUACAAAAGUUUUUGGAUUUAUGGAAAUCUUAAAUAAUUUGCAUAUGUUUUAAUACUGUCCUUUAGGGGAGAAAGAACUUAUGCAAUUUACAUAAAUGGGGUCCUAUAUUUGUUUUCCUAAUUCUUUUUUUUUUCAAUCGAAUCGAGUGUUAUUCAAUGAUUAUGUUCGUUUCAAUACUAUAUUAUAUAAUAUUAUUGUGUAGCUGUUCUCAAAGCUUGUGGCAUUUGAAUAAUGAGUUGAUGGAAUUUUAUUCUCCCACUGACUUAAUUUUAUUUUAAGAUAAUUAACACUCCUAAUUUGAACCAAGAUUUGUUCAAAUUUGCAUAAGUUUUCCGGUUUUUUCCAAUUAUUAGGGUUGUCCUAAAUAAUCGUAAAAUAUCAAAAAUAAAUUACUUUAAUAGUGCACCAAUUUGAUACACAAAAAAAAAAUAACAAAAAAAAAAUCAACAAAUAAGCACUCAUAGAAAAACCAUAUACAUCCACCUUCAAUUGUCUCAUACCAAUCACAAUGAUGGUGGUUUCUCUAAUUUUAAAAUUAAACAAACGGUUUUAUUUAUAAAUCAAUUAUAAGAAAAUUAAAUGUAGCUUAUGGCGCUUAAUUAAAUUAUUCUUAUACAUUUUGUUUAUUCAUACGCUAGUCGAAUUUUCAAAACGCACUCCUGAAAAUAGUUUAGUAAAAUAAUUAUUUAAGGAUUUAUGUUUUUUACUAUUUAAAAAUUUUACUAUUACCAAAAUUUUUUUUUUUAAUUCCCAGAUAUGGAUUGUAAGUAUAAUCUACGAAUACUAGCUACCUACCUUGAUUUUGUGUCCAAAUAAUAAAUAUAUUUCUAAGUCAAAACUAAAAUAUAUUUUUAUGUUUUCUAUAGUGGGAUGCAAAAAUUAUUUGAUGUAUGUUUUAACUACGGUUGUUAGUGGUAAGUACUUAACGAAUUAAAUUGAUGCAAACAAUUUAAACAAUUUAAACAAUUUAAACAUAUGAUGCAAAGUUCUAAUUAUACAAANUUAGUGGUAAGUACUUAACGAAUUAAAUUUAAGAAAACAUAUGAUGCAAAGUUCUAAUUAUACAAAUAUCAGAAACUCGGGAUACUACUCAUACAAUAUGUUUUAAACCGUUUAAUACACAAUAUAUUAAUGAAUAUUAUAAUAAUAAUACACUUACAUUUUGAUUCCCCAUGUGGCCGGGAUCAGAAUACACCCAUUAGCCAUUGUACAUCUACUUGUCGUAUGAGUGAACAAAUGAGUUUGUACUAGGAAAGGUACGUAGCCAGAAAAUUUCUGUCGGGGGGAGCAAAAAUUUGGGUCCUUGUAUAAUUUUCAAUCAUUUGUUCCCAAUGAAAAUACUGUGGGGAUUCUCCUUCACACUCCCUCAUAGAAUGUAUUCCAUGCCAAAAAUUUUACUAAUUCAAAAUUUACCUAUGUUUGGUUAAAAUACAAUUGUUGUUAUAUUUUAAAUGUCUACAGUAGUUUGGUUUUACUGAGUUGUAAAUGAAUUUCAAAGCCAGCAUUAAAGAUUAUCAUUAAAGAAUUAAUACAUUAUAUGUUUUUUUUCAGAUAUAAAGCAACCGUCGGAUUAUUUUAAAUCUUAUUCGCAGGUAUGCAGAUUUAUUUAAUAUCUAAAUUUGAUACCCUAACUGAUAAUUUUACAAAGUUGAAUUUUAAAACGUAUAACCAUUUUAAUAUCAUUUUUUUUACCUUGCACAAAACCCUCAAUUUUCACUUCCCGGCUUACAGUUAUACCGUGAAGGUACGACAUAUAUCAGUGAAUCAACUUGUUAUGAAUUUGAGUACUCGUAUUUGUCUUAACAUUACCGGUUUUAAGCACUCUGCACUAAAAAUAGUACCAGUUUCCUGAAAAAUGUUUUUGCCUUAAAAAUCAUGACUAUAGAAACAGGCAUAUCAGGUGAUAGUGUGAACAAAAUUGAAUUUACUCAAAGAAAAAUCAUGGUUCAAAGAGUCAUUGUAUGAAAAAUAUUCUAUGACCGUAGUUUAGUAUCAAUAUUAUUGUAAUGUUGAAAAAAUGAAUGCUGCAGGAAGAUGAAAUCACCCAGGGUGAAGGCCCAAUGAUAGUAGAUAUCUUGCUGAUAUGAUUGAACAUUUAGCUAUAUCAGAAUAAUUCAGUUCUACAAAACCAAUCAAAUUUAUACAUUUUUUUUCAGCGUUCUGUAUUAAUAUUUACGAUAAUUAAUAUAAAAUUAUAUACAGUUAUAAUAAUUAUAAUAAUAAUAAUAAAUUUCACCAAAAAACAAUAAACAACAACGAUCAACGAACCAAAAACAAAACAAAUGUAUUGUUCUACCCACUUUUUAUUUAUUUUAAAAUGUAUUCAAGAAGAUAAUUUAAUGAACGGAAAUUUAUUAAUGCAACUGAUAUGACACCACGACAACAAGAUUCACCUUGAUUUGUGUUAUAUAACUUAUUUUUUAUUUGUGUAUAGAUAUUAAAUAUGGAUACGGCUUUCCUAUAAUACACGUAUAAUAGUAUGUAUAUUGCUGCACUCGUAAAGAAAUGAACAAUAGUUUUCACUCAAACGAUCAUUCCACAUAACAAAACAUUGAUAAUAAUUCAACAAGCAUGAUGUAAUGAUAUUAUCAUCAUAAGUAUUGUUUGUCCACGCAAAAACUACAUAAUUAUUAUCCAGUUUGGUUACGUGUGACUUACAGUAAACGUAUUAAUAUUUUUUAAUAUUUAGUUCUUAACUAAUUAUAUAUCUAUAUUAAUUUUAUAAUAUUUAUUAAAACUAAAAAUGAUAAACAAAUACAUGAUUUGCAAUCGUAGAUAAGUGCCUCAACAUAAUAUCAUUAAUUUAUUUUUCAUAAAUCAAUAAAUUGAAUUCAAACUAGAUACAGUAAAUGUUCAUGUAAAUGUAUUGUUCCUUACGUAUUUCCUCUGUAUAUAUAAAUUAUAGGUACAAUUUUAUGUUAUUACGCUAUCCAGUGACUAAAAUCGUAUCAGGUGGGUUGAUUUAAAAAUGUGCGUGCGAAUGCCGUAUCCAUUAGUUUAAUAUCUAUGGUAAUUUAUUUUCAACUUUUUCAGGACCUUCAAAGAAUUUUUUUAAGGAGCAAACGUAUAAUUUUUUAUUUUUCAUUAAAUUCCUUAGAAAUUCGUUAGUAAAAAAAAGUAAAAGUACAAUUUUAGUUAGUGAGUUCUUCUGAUUUUAUGCCGACAAGUGUUGUCGUAAAGUAUUUGAAAGUAUAUGAAAAGUAUUUCAGUUUGCAUACUUUUGUUUUGCAAUUGCAUAUAACCGAAGAUUCAGGGUUUUAAUUCUCCCUCAACAAUUUAUACAAAAUAGUGGAAUGUCCAAAACAUGUUUCUCUCCGAAAUAAUAAAUUUCUUGGGCUAGAUAGAUCCCCAUGUAUAUUUAUCAGAUAAUUUACAUUACCCCCCUUGGCAUAUUGCUAUAUGGUUAAAACAAAUAAAAGACGUAAUACUAUACGUAUAUACAACACGCACAGGUAUUUUUAGAAGGCCUAGAUAUAUUCACAGUUAUACAUCAUGUGAUUGCCACAUUUGUGCGCAAAUAAGAGAAGGAUGGAGUUAGAAGAUAUGUUAAAACGACUAAACAAUUUUUAUUGAUUUUUUUGUUUAUCAAUUAUAAUGCGUAUGUGAUAGAACUUUAAUUUUUCGUUUAAACAUUUAUUUUUUUUUAUUAUUAUUAUUACAGAUUAUUACUGAUAUUAGCAAAAUAGCACCCUUCAUAAAAAUAUCUUGGAUCUGUCACAGAUUUACAUAGAUUAUAUAAGAAUGGAUAGAAUAUAAGAAUUGUAUUAAUCAUAAAAUUUAGUAAUACACUUUAACGUUAUAUUGGGUAAAUAUUAAUGUGCAUUUGAUGUAUUAAAAACACAGAACACAACAAUGGACCAUGAUAUCACGUAAAAGUAAAUAAAAAUAAAAAUUGAGUAGGCACACAAAGUUUAAAGUAUGAGUAUUCCAAUUUACAGGCUCAGAUUGACAAUUGUAAAUAUUAUAUUAUAAGUCGUAUAGAUAUUUAUGUUCUGUCGUAGUUAAUAUUUUUCACGCCUUUCAAAAUUACUUUUUACACUAUUCUUUUUUCCAAUCUUUUUAAAUAUCAAACUGUUCCAAAAAAAAUUUUCUAGGCAGUUGGUACUUAUCACAUACAAAUAUUUCAAAAAUACUUUUUACAAACUUUUUAUUUUUACAAAGUUUUCAACUACGUAUUCUCAAUAUUCCAUGUCAAAUUAAUUUUCAAUAGCGAAUUAUCAAUUCUAUUUUUCAACAUCGAAAUACAAAAUCAGUUUUUUAACAGCGAAAUGUCAAAUAAAUGUUCAACGUCUAAGUAUAAAAUAAAUUUUCAACAUCAAUGGGGAUCAUGAGCUAAAUUAUUAUUUUUAUUAUAUAUAUAUAUAUUUUUUUAAAUAGUAUUGUUAAAUGUUUCUGGAAUAGUUAAAUACUUGAAAAGACCGGAAUCUGUAAAUAUAUUUUUUUAAAUAUUGUUUUAUGAUAAGUAUCAACUGCUCUAGAAAAACAUACAUUCUUCUACUGCUACUAUAGUAUUUAGUAGUUACUAAUUUGAUAACUUAUUAAUAAUUAUGAUAUUUUUAUUAUUUAGUAAAACAGUUUUUGUACAUAACAUUAAAAAAAGGUCAAUCUUCUUUCUGUCUUUGUAUGUUCUCUCUUCUCCAGAAAAGCAAAUAGCUCCUUAAUAUGAAACUGUUAUAGCGUGUCUUAUCCAUUCUUCUAUAUAUGGUAUUAAAAUUCAAAAUUCAUAGAACAUCGAACGAUAAGCUAUUUUUGUGACACCAUUUUAUGUUACAGACACUGCAACCACCACCGACAUAAUUACAAAGAUGAACGUGUUGAAAAAUAAUUAAGUAAUAUAAUGAUAAAUUAAUACAUUAUAGAAGAUAAAAAUAAAAAUAUCUUAUGCUAUAUUAUUUUUUUUUUAACUAACUAAUACAUAUUACAUAAUAUGAAAUAACUAAUUUCACAGUUUAAUACGAAUUAUAUGACAAAUUACAUUUUUAUUGUUCAAUAUUUGUGUUGUAAAUUAUAAUAAAGUAUAAUAUUCUUUUUGGAUUCUUUAUUGGUAAUACCUCUAUAACAUUUUUAGUUUUCUGGGUCGACUUAAAUAUUUAUCGCAGUAGUAUUAAUUUAAAUUAUUUAAUAUUUUAUGUAUUCCUUUAUUUAAAAUAAAUUUACAAACAUGUGUAAUAAUAUGGUAGUUUAGUUGGAAUAUUUACAAUGAAUGGAAUGAAUGGAACGACACCGUGACGAUCAUAGGCUAAGAUAAAAUAGAUUGGAAAUGACAGGGUGAAUAACAACAUCGUGGUGUAUAUCACGGAAAGAAAUAUGUUCAUUAGCUUUGCAAUCUCCACCUAUACUAAUAUACAAGUAUACUACAUAAUUGGAUCAACGUGGUCUGGUGCCGGGAGAACGGAACGAGUAAAUAACGUGUAAUUCAUAUUGCAUCAUUUAAACAGAAUCCCUUUAGUGAAGAAACGAUUAUAGAGGGUGAAAAACUAACCCAACUCUUAUGUGCCGAGAAAAACAGGAAAUGGCAUGAAACAAUUGAAAACAUCGACAUGACAAAAAAUAGUAAAAAAGCUUGGGGACUUAUAAAGAAAUUAAACGGAGAUCAGACAAUACAGACGUCCUGUAUAAACGUUACGACAAAUCAGGUAGCCUCAGAAUUACUUCGUAAUGGGAAACCAAACACCAAAAUCAAAAAAAAGGAAGAUCAAGAGGAAUAAAGAGAUAAAAUGCCAUAACUUCCAGGACGAUUUUACGAUGGAGGAGCUAAGUAACAGUUUACAAGAAAUGAAGAACGGUAAAGCGGCAGGAUAUAAAUUGGCUACAAUAUAAGAUUUGACAAAGUUACCGAUCAUUAAUAUUGGUGCUAUUACUAUUUGUUUAUUUGUUUAUUUUAUUUUUUAUUCAUUUAUAUAUAUAUAUAUAUAUGUUACCUAUUUAUAACUAACUGAUUAUUGGCAAUUUUAACUGGAUUUAACUAUUAAUGGUCUUGCAAAUCAAGUUUUAGACUUCAGGGCCCUAUAUAUAUUGUAUAAGAACUUAGAAUAUAACUGUAUAUUUUAUGUACAAUACAUAUAAUGUGAC